rnacentral:rRNA from 1 species
AAAAUUUUUAAAUGAAAUAAAUAUAUUUAAUGGGGGUUAAAGUAUAUUUAUAGAAAUAAUUAAAAAUUUUAUAGUUAAUUAGUAUUGUGAAAGAAUUUUGAAAUAUUUGAAAAUAAAUUUAUUAAUAAGUAAUUUUAAUUUAAUGUAUCUUGUGUAUCAGAGUUUAUUAAAUAAUUAUAUUUAAUUAAAUAAUUCUCGAAUUUAAAAGAGAUAAAUAAUUAUUAAAGUUAUUGUUGCAUAAAUAUUUUAAAUAAUUAUUUUGAAAUGAGAUGUUAAUCGUUUUUAAAUAUAUCUAGUUUUUUUUGAAAUAAAUUUAAUUUAAAAUUUAUUUUAAAAUUAAAAUAAUUAAUUAUUUUAAUUUUAAAAUAAAUUUAAUAAUUUAAGGGAUAAGCUUUAAAUUAAAAUAUUAUAAUUAUAUUUUAAUUUUGAAAAUUUUAUAAUUUAUAUUGUUAAUAAAAUUUAAUUUAUUAUAAAUAAUUUCAUAUUAAUUAAAAUUUAAUAUAAUUUAAUUUUUUAAAAAAAAAUAUUUUUUAAUAAGGAAAAUUUAGGUAUAAUGAUAAAAUUAGUAUAUUUAAUAAUAAAUUAAUAAAUAAAUUGAUUAAUUAAUAAAAAGGAAUUCGGCAAAUAUAUAUAUUCACUUGUUUAUCAAAAACAUGUCUUUUUGAAAUUAAUUUAAAGUCUAAUCUGCCCACUGAUAAUUUAUUAAAGGGCUGCAGUAUUUUGACUGUACAAAGGUAGCAUAAUCAUUAGUCUCUUAAUUGGUGACUUGUAUGAAAGAUUGGAUGAGAUAUAAACUGUCUCUUUAUUAUUUAUAGAAUUUAAUUUUUUAGUUAAAAAGCUUAAAUAAUUUAAAAAGACGAGAAGACCCUAUAGAGUUUUAUAUAUAUUUAAAUAAUUAUUAUUUAUUAGUUGAUAAAUUUUUAUUUAAAUAUAUAUUUUAUUGGGGUGAUAAAAAAAUAUAAUAAACUUUUUUUUUUUUUUAUCAUGAAUAAGUGAUUAUUUGAUCCAUUUUUAAUGAUUAUAAGAUAAAAUUACCUUAGGGAUAACAGCGUAAUUUUUUUUUUUAGUUCAUAUAAGAAGAAAAGUUUGCGACCUCGAUGUUGGAUUAAGAUAAAAUUUAAACGCAAAAGUUUAAAAUUUUGAUCUGUUCGAUCAUUAAAAUCUUACAUGAUCUGAGUUCAAACCGGUGUAAGCCAGGUUGGUUUCUAUCUUUUAAUAAAUAAAAUAUUUUAGUACGAAAGGAUUAAAUAUUUAAAUUAAAUUUAUAAUAAAUGAUUAUUAAUAAUU